UACGUAGGGUGCAAGCGUUGUCCGGAAUUAUUGGGCGUAAAGAGCUCGUAGGCGGCCUGUUGCGUCCGCUGUGAAAGCCCGGGGCUUAACCCCGGGUCGGCAGUGGAUACGGGCAGGCUAGAGGUAGGUAGGGGAGAAUGGAAUUCCCGGUGUAGCGGUGAAAUGCGCAGAUAUCGGGAGGAAUACCGGUGGCGAAGGCGGCAUCCUGGACCGACAUUGACGCUGAUGAGCGAAAGCUAGGGGAGCAAACGGG
rnacentral:rRNA from 1 species